rnacentral:rRNA from 1 species
UGCCAGACUCCUACGGGAGGCAGCAGUGGGGAAUAUUGCACAAUGGGGGAAACCCUGAUGCAGCAACGCCGCGUGAGUGAAGAAGUCAUUCGUGAUGUAAAGCUCUAUCAGCAGGGAAGAAAAUGACGGUACCUGAGUAAGAAGCCCCGGCUAACUACGUGCCAGCAGCCGCGGUAAUACGUAGGGGGCAAGCGUUAUCCGGAUUCACUGGGUGUAAAGGGAGCGUAGACGGCCAUGCAAGCCAGGGGUGAAAGCCCGGGGCCCAGCCCCGGGACUGCCCUUGGAACUGGAUGGCUGGAGUGCGGGAGGGGCAGGCGGAAUUCCUGGUGUAGCGGUGAAUUGCGUAGAUAUCAGGAGGAACCCCGGCGGCGAAGGCGGCCUGCUGGACCGCGACUGACGUUGAGGCUCGAAAGCGUGGGGAGCGAACAGGAUUAGAUACCCCAGUAUC